rnacentral:rRNA from 1 species
AACAACUCACCUGCCGAAUGAACUAGCCCUGAAAAUGGAUGACGCUUAAGCGGAGUGCCGACACCCGACCGUUUCGGUAAAACAGCAAGCACACGACCGAAAUGAGUAGGAGGGCGUGGCGAUUUUGUUUCGAAGGGUACGACGCGAGUCUACCUGGAACGGUCGCUAGUGCAGAUCUUGGUGGUAGUAGCAAAUAUUUAAGCGAGAUCCUUAAAGGGCGAAGCGGGGAAGGGUUCCACGCGAACAUUGAUUGGGCGUGGGUGAGUCGUUCCUAAGCCGGGUGGUAAUCGUUCUUACGAUCGGCGAAAGGGAAGUUGGUUAAAAUUCCAACACACGGAUGUGGAGGCGGCAACGCAAAUUGAGGUGGAGACGUUAGCGGUGACACUGGGCAGAGUUUUCUUUUCUGUUUAACCCGUUGCGCACUCUGUGGAAUUCGAUUAUCGAGAGAAACAGGUGCGCGCUUUGGGAAGAGCGUCGGGGCGUCCCCGGCGUCCAGUACGUCACCGAGAACCCUUGAAAAUCCAUCUGCAAUGUAAUUUCACGCCGUGGCGUACCGAUAACCGCAGCAGGUCCCCAAGGUGAACAGCCUCUGCUCAAUAUGAACAAU